rnacentral:tRNA from 1 species
ACCUGGCUGGCUCAUUUGGAGGAGCAUGAGACUCUUGAUUUCAGAGUUGUGAGUUUGAGCCCCAUGUUGGGUG